GUCUGUAAUGUAAAAGCAAGGCAUAAGUCUGAAACCUUUUUGUACCUGGGCAUUGAACUCAGGAACUUUCACUGAGCUAUGAAUGAUACUGAGCUAUCUAAUUAUGCAAAUAAAGAAGAUAAAACAAGGAGUCCCUUUUUAUUUUUAUUUGCUAAAUAUUCUCUAGGUGUCCCUAGGUUGACAUUGCUCCGAGCCAGUGGAUGCCUUCUGGAGACAACGGAAGAUAGAUUUGGCCAGCCUAUCCACCCUCAGCCUAUCCUAUCUUCCCAGAUAGCUCAUGAACUUUAUUGCCGUAAGGAAUGCUUUAAAAAGGAAGUAUAACUCCGUAAUAAACUACUUUGCUUAUUGGAAGAGAACAUACAUUAAAAGGUUUAAUCUCCAAAGGAGAUUUGCCCACAACACUGUGUCAGGACAUGGUUCUUAUGUGUGUUCUCCUGGAUGGGCACAGUUCCGAUCAAUGUCUCAUCUGACUGGUCAUGCCAAAAAUUCUAUCAGAUGGUUCCCUGACUGGAACGGCAGACGAGAGACUGCUGGUGAGUCCCUUGCCAUUCAGGACCAGACUGCAUACUGUAUUAAUUCCUCACUUCUCAACACGCGGGAGCUGCUAAACUUGUCACUGCUGGUUUGCAAACAACACCAGUCUAAUUCAUUUACCACAGGUGAGCAACCUCCGGAGAUUACUGGAUGCUGGGCCAGGCCCCACAUGGGUUUUCUUCCCAUUCUCUGGACUCGAGUGGCACUCUCAUGUCCUUACACAGCCCUAAGGCAGAGCUUUUACUGUAAUCUCUCAUGUCUCUUAGAGCCUUUAGGCUCUCACGGGCAGAGCCAUUACUGUAAUCCACGGGAACUCCACUUGUGCCUUUGGUGAGGACUGAGAAACACGAGCUUUGGAACAAUUACUGAUUACCUUUCGAUCUAAAAGGUUAAGGUGAUGACCUGACCUGGUUAGACCACGGUCCGUUGCCUCACCUGACUGUGACUCCAUGGGCCGGGCCCCACACCAGAUUUUCUUAUCUUGGGGACCACUUCCUGUCCCCCCCCAAAACCAUACCUAUUUAUAGUUUAUCACACUGACCACAAGUUUACAAAAACUCUCCAUCUCUGGGCCUUUAUUUUGAGACUGUAUCCUUUUCCCUCUCUGCUCCUCCAGGAUCUCCCCCACACACACACUUAGGAGAUAACAUAGCAUCUUUCUUUACAGCCUUUCAAAGCUUUCUCAGCAUCCUCCUUUCCUCCCCACUUCCACCCACUUCACCCAUUUCUCAGUCCCACCCCAUCACCCCACCUGUCCCACCAGGGUGGGGGAGGUGCACCCAGACAGUGUUGGGGGAGGUACACAUAGGCUGCUCUGGGCCCUCAUGCAGCACCCCAGCUCCGCACCCUGCCUGCCCUGUGCCCCUGCCUACUCUGCAUUCACCGCCCCCCACCCUGGGUGCUCUGCCUGCCCUGUGCACUCUGCCCACCCUCCGUGUUUCACCCCUUCCCUGUGCACUCUGAUGCCCUGCUCUGUGUGUCUCUGGAGCAAUCCCAGCCCCCACCUCAGAGUGCCAGCAUGGCUCUGAGCACCAAACAGGUUGCAGCAGACAGACAAUUCAUUGUUGCUGAUCUGAUGGUAUAUUCAUGCUUUCAAAUAUAAAAUUUGGAUUGUUUCUGCUGCCUUUUUCUUGUGUUCCAGCCAAGAGAUACAAAUCAGACCAACAUGAGUAAACCAGUCAAAUAAUAAUUUUCAAACAAAAAUUUAUGUAAUGUAUGAUGACAAAUGUUUUCUUUCUGAUCCAGACACACACUUAGAAAUGUUUCACAAAUUUCUUCGGCAUUCAAAUGUUAAAACACUCAUCGUUGAUAGCCAUUUAAUGUUCUAUGUUAAUCUUACUGCCUAUAUUGUACUAUACUGUUAUCAAUCUUCUAGAAGUUUAACAACCAAGACCAACACUGAGGCAGAGGCCAGGCUUAAGCCUUUCCCAGCCUGUCUGCCUGCCUUAGCUCCGCCCUCCCCUGAGCCAUAAUAAACUGUACUCAACUGGUGUUAAAUGACACUGUAGCUGAUUUCUCCUAAAUAAAAAGGUAAAAUUAAUAAAGCCAUCCUCCAAAAAUCAGAUGGCAUUAGACAUUUUAACAGCAUAAAGAGAUACUUAUAUAAAGUUAUAAUCAUAAAUACCCUGUUGAUUGUAUUAUUUGAUUCCUGCAUACUUAAUUAAUUCUACAGAUAC